CGCAACCUCAUACAAAACGUCCUAUAAUAUUAUUAUCUACGAUUGCCGCGCCGGCCGGCAGCUGUUGCUGCACUACCGCGGACUUUGGCCGUCGUCGGUGUGUGCGAGCUCGUCACUUCUGUUUAUUUUUUUGUGCAGUUCAGGUCUAAAGGUACGGUUUCCUGGCCGUGGCUAGUCGCGACGGCUGGCCGCAGCGUAGAGCCGCAACGACUGCUCUGCUAUGGAACAGCAUUAUAGCCGCUGCGGCCGGCGGCGUCUGUACUCGUCCGUGAGCAGUAUGGUGCGGCCGGUCGCUGCGACUAGAAGUGGCUAGGAAACCGUACCUUAACGUGAUCGCGUCGUUUACAGCUCCACCAUUACGGUCAUCAUUACACAUCUCACUCUGUGCACCCAAUACGUGUUCAGUUUACACAACACGCAAUCGGCAAGGAAUUCACACGUUCAUGAACCUGUCACUACAGCCCUGCGUCAAGAACAAGUAUAAGAUUCUUUUAGCCUUAAAAAAUUUGGGUAUAAAAGCAUCAAAUCCUACUUCAAUCCGGGCUCAAGAGACAUUUCAUCAAACAUUAAAACGCAUUUUCUAUCAAUAGGUUUUAAGCUUGUACCCGGUGCAUAAUAUUAUUCUUUAUGUAAUGCAAACAUAUUGGAUAAAAACGAAUAAGCAUUAGUAGAAGUUUUAUAAAUUGAUAGUCCAAAUAUUUUAUCAUCCAAUUUACAUCUUCGACCAUUUGAAGAUUUCUGCUGAUUAAUUAUUUGACUUUCAAACAAAUUUAUAGUUUGCUUAAGUAUUUAUCUUAUUACCUAGUUAGCUCGGUAAUAAAACUUACUUUUGAUUGGAGUCAAUUGUUCUACAUACAGAAACCCAGCCUCUUUCAAAAUAUUUCUGUUGACUUCUAUAAAAAAUACAGAAAGCUGAACUACUACUACAAGGUUUGGAAAGUGUUGGUUCUAUUGUUUCAUCAAAAUCUAGAAAGAUAUGUAGUAUUUCAUAGUUUAUAUCCAGUUCAUCAGUUUCAACAUAAUGUAUAGAUAAUGUAUAUAUGACUUACAGGAUAAAUCGAAAAGUUUCAGUCAACCAUCUAUAAAAUAGAAAUCAAUUGACAAAAUGUACUUCAUUGUAAUACCCUUUGAAUUCACAAUUAUUGAAAGAACAAGUUUAGUACUCAUAUCAGGUGCCAUUUCAAAUUCAUAUCCAGAAGCGCAUGUUAUAAAACUAAAAGGCCACCCAUUAAUAUUAAGAAAAGAUCCAAGAGAAAUAGUAAAAUUAGAUAAAAACAAUAUCAAUCUUGUUAUUAAAAGCAUGCCAAAACAUUUUUAAAAUAAAGAGGACAAACAGAUGUCCAUACUCAACGAAUUAAAUGAUAGUUUUAUUACCAAAUAUGGCAAUUUAAAUGCCAAUUUUAUUCAAAAAUACAGUAACUUUAAAAACAGAACACCAAUAAAAGUAAUCUGAAAUGGUUACACUGAAAAAGAAAUCCUAAAAUGGCUUAAUAUUCAACAUCCAAUACUAAAUAUAACUUGCAAAGAUAUCAAUAACGAUGGAAUUUUUUACUUACUUUUAAUUAACCUAAAAAAUAAUCAGAUAGUAACUCAAACUAAAAUAGGAAAUGUUAGCAAAAAGGGAGAUUGACAAACCUGAAUAAUGAGACCCACACUAUAAUCUGCAAUAAAAAACAUUUUGAAACAUAUAUCCA